rnacentral:rRNA from 1 species
CCUUGACAUACUAAGAACUUUCCAGAGAUGGAUUGGUGCCUUCGGGAACUUAGAUUACAGGUGCUGCAUGGCUGUCGUCAGCUCGUGUCGUGAGAUGUUGGGUUAAGUCCCGNAACGAGCGCAACCCUUUUCCUAUUUGCCAGCGGGUCAUGCCGGGAACUUUAAGGAUACUGCCAGUGACAAACUGGAGGAAGGCGGGGACGACGUCAAGUCAUCAUGGCCCUUACGGCCAGGGCUACACACGUGCUACAAUGGUCGGUACAAAGGGUUGCUACCUCGCGAGAGGAUGCUAAUCUCAAAAAGCCGAUCGUAGUCCGGAUCGCAGUCUGCAACUCGACUGCGUGAAGUCGGAAUCGCUAGUAAUCGCGGAUCAGAAUGCCGCGGUGAAUACGUUCCCGGGCCUUGUACACACCGCCCGUCACACCAUGGGAGUUUGUUGCACCAGAAGUAGGUAGUCUAACCGCAAGGAGGACGCUUACCACGGUGUGGCCGAUGACUGGGGUGAAGUCGUAACAAGGUAGGCGUAGAUGA